rnacentral:misc_RNA from 1 species
ACAGAAUCUCUUUUUUUGUUUCAUUUUCCUUUUCAAUCCCAUUCUUUCCUCUGUAUAAUCAAACCCAAUUUCUGCCUUCGCUUCCCACUACAAAAUUAACCAUUUUGUUUUUAUCUCUCUUGUGUUCUUGUUUUUCUUUUCUCUAUGUGUCCAGUAAUGGCUCCUAGCUUAAGCAAAGCUAGUUCCGGGGCUACAGGGCUCGUUGAGACCUAUAACCAGUCUGGCAUCUCUCUUGAGGGAUCAAACUUCACUGCCAAUGGCCAUGUCUUUCUCUCCGACGUCCCUGAGAAUAUCAAAGUCACUCCCUCUCCCUAUACCCAACCAGCUGACAAAUCUUUAUCAACCGUCGGAUCCUUCAUUGGGUUCGACGCCAUGGAAGCCAAGGACCGUCACGUUGUUCCCAUUGGGAAACUCAAGAACAUACGGUUCAUGAGCAUUUUCAGGUUCAAGGUCUGGUGGACUACCCAUUGGGUCGGCUCCAGUGGCAGAGACCUUGAAAAUGAAACCCAGAUGGUUGUUCUUGAUAAGUCGUCCGAUUCUGGCCACCGUCCCUAUGUUCUCCUUCUUCCUCUUCUUGAAGGUCCAUUUCGAGCCUCUCUCCAGCCCGGAGAGGACGACAAUAUUGAUAUUUGCGUCGAAAGUGGCUCCUCCAAAGUCUCCGCCACCGGAUUCCGGAGCAUUCUUUAUCUGCAUGUCGGCGACGAUCCUUUCAACCUGGUGAAGGAGGCGAUGAAGGUGGUUAGGCAUCAUUUGGGUACUUUCAGGCUGUUGGAGGAGAAGAAUCCUCCAGGAAUAGUGGACAAGUUUGGGUGGUGCACCUGGGAUGCCUUCUAUCUUACAGUGCACCCUCAAGGUAUUUGGGAAGGUGUCAAGGGUCUCGUCGACGGUGGGUGCCCACCUGGUCUGGUCUUGAUCGAUGAUGGGUGGCAAUCUAUCAGCCAUGAUGAGGACCCAAUCAACAAAGAAGGCAUGAACCACACAAUCGCCGGCGAGCAAAUGCCAUGCAGGCUAUUGAAAUUUCAAGAGAAUUACAAAUUCAGGGAAUACGUGAGUCCCAAAAGCUUGGCCGCGGGUGCCACUGACAAGGGCAUGGGUGCCUUUAUCAAGGACCUUAAGGAGGAAUUUAACACUGUAGACUUCGUAUACGUGUGGCAUGCACUGUGUGGUUACUGGGGUGGUCUCAGACCAAAUGUCCCCGGACUUCCAGACGCGACAGUGGUAAAGCCAAAAUUGUCGCCUGGAUUGGAGUUGACGAUGGAGGACCUGGCGGUGGACAAGAUCGUGAACAAUGGAGUUGGGCUGGUGCCGCCGGAGCAGGUAGAUGAAAUGUACGAGGGUCUUCACUCGCACUUGGAAACCGUCGGAAUUGACGGCGUCAAAGUGGACGUUAUCCAUUUGUUGGAAAUGCUUUGUGAAAACCAUGGAGGGAGAGUAGAUCUGGCAAAGGCGUAUUACAAGGCAUUAACAGCUUCAAUAAGGAAGCAUUUCAAUGGAAAUGGGGUGAUUGCUAGUAUGGAGCACUGCAACGAUUUCAUGUUUCUGGGAACCGAGGCCAUCUCCCUUGGUCGUGUUGGUGAUGAUUUUUGGUGCACUGAUCCAUCUGGGGAUCCAAAUGGUACAUUUUGGCUUCAAGGUUGUCACAUGGUGCAUUGUGCUUACAAUAGCUUGUGGAUGGGCAAUUUUAUACACCCAGACUGGGAUAUGUUUCAGUCUACUCAUCCUUGUGCUGAGUUCCAUGCUGCUUCUAGGGCAAUUUCUGGUGGCCCUAUUUACGUUAGUGACUCAGUUGGAAAGCACAACUUUUCAUUGCUUAAACGUCUUGUUUUGCCUGACGGUUCAAUUCUCCGGCG